AGCCCCGAGGUGUUUCUACAUAUCGGAUUGCAAAUCCGAAGAAGCAGGGUUACACCUGCCGGGGCUUU
rnacentral:tRNA from 1 species